GGAAAAGGAGAGAGAAAUAAUGAUAAAAAAUGAUAUUAUUAUUAUAAAUAAGCCCCCGUUCUACGUGCAUUCAUCUUCUCCACUUUUCCCCUCCAAACCCUAGCCGCCGCCACCUCACUCUACGAGUCCGCUGUCGCCGCAGCUAUCCACGAGUCCGCUGUCGCCGCCAGCUAUCUCUACCAAUCCCCUCUCUAACGAAGUCGCCGGCAAUCGCACCGUUCCUCGCGUGAACCGACUGGACCACCCAUCUCUCAUCCGACGAAGCCCAACGAAACUGCGCGUCGGUACCCCUCUCCGUUUGUUCGUCGUCGCCUACGCCGUUCUUCCCCAGCCUGACCAAGGACUGUCAGCUGUCCGAUCGAGCCGCACGUCUGCGUACGCGAGCCGUCUUCUUUUCUCCAUCUGCUUGCGAACUUUCGUCCAGUCGAGCCACGUUUUGCAGCCGAUCGCUGCGCGAGCCUACAGCAACGAGCCACCCUUCAACCACGAGCCAAGCCACGUGUUUCUGCCUCCAACCCAAACCGCGAGCUGUUUUUUUUUAUUGAGCCGCCAAGCCAUUUUCUUUUUCAAGCCAUCAACCUUGUUUUUGGUUAUUUCCCCUUCUUUUGAUUUUAUUUGGGAGUUUUGAGCGGUGGAAUUUUUGCCCAACAAAAGAUAACUUGGCUUCGACCUCAGCUUUGGGCUAAGGUAAAGAACUUAAGAAGCUGGCGAGUGACAGUGAAGAAUCCGUGACAUGCUAUAUGGGGAUACAGUUCAGUUUCCGCACUUAUUUAUGUCUUUCAGUAUUUUUAAAUUUUAACCAUUUUACUUAAGAUUUUGUCCUAUUUAUUUGUUUUUUUUUUGUUCUUUAAAAAUUUUUAGAACCUGCGAGUCAUGUUCUCAAAUUAUUGUUGUAAAUUUGAUAACCUUAUGUUUUUUUUGAACAUCAAAAUAUUUAUUUUAUAAAAAUUUUAGUCAACCUCUUUUCAAAAA